GACGAACCGAGCGAACGUUGUUCGGAAUCACUGGGCUUAAAGGGCGCGUAGGCGGGGUCUCAAGUCCGUGGUGAAAUCCUCCGGCUCAACCGGAGAACUGCCUCGGAUACUGGGUGCCUCGAGGGUGGUAGGGGUAUGCGGAACUAUCGGUGGAGCGGUGAAAUGCGUUGAUAUCGAUAGGAACUCCGGUGGCGAAGGCGGCAUACUGGACCACCUCUGACGCUGAGGCGCGAAAGCCAGGGGAGCAAACGGG
rnacentral:rRNA from 1 species